rnacentral:rRNA from 1 species
AUGGCAUCCUCCUCCAUUGCGGUCGCGGCUGCUCUGAUCCUCUGCAUCCUCGUCGCCCAUGCCCAUGGCUGCUACGCCAAGCACCACGCGGCUCCUUCUGCGGCCAACUCCAGCUGGCUUGAUGCCAAGGCGACAUGGUACGGCGCACCCCAUGGUGCCGGGCCUGACGACAAUGGCGGCGCGUGCGGGUUCAAGAACGUCAACUUACCACCCUUCUCCUCCAUGACCUCCUGCGGCAACCAGCCGCUCUUCAAGGACGGCAAGGGCUGUGGCUCCUGCUAUCAGAUAAGGUGCUUAAAGCCAGACCACCCUGCGUGCUCCGGUGUGCCGAAGACGGUGAUCAUCACGGACAUGAACUACUACCCGGUCUCCCGCUACCACUUCGACCUCAGUGGCACCGCCUUCGGAGCCAUGGCCAAGGACGGCCGCAACGACGAGCUCCGCCACGCCGGCAUGAUCAACAUGCAGUUCAAGAGGGUACCGUGCCAGUAUCCGGGGCUGACGGUGACGUUCCACGUGGAGGAGGGGUCGAACCCGUUCUACAUGGCAAUCCUGGUGGAGUACGAGAACGGCGAUGGCAAUGUGAAUCAGCUGGACAUCAUGGAGUCGCGACCGAAUGGCGGUAAGAUGGCUCCAACAGGGCAGUGGGUGCCCAUGAAGGAGUCGUGGGGUUCCAUCUGGAGGAUGGAUGCCCACCACCCCAUGAAGGCGCCAUUCUCGUUGCGCAUCACCAACGAGUCCGGCAAGACACUUGUCGCCGAACAGGUCAUCCCCAUCGAUUGGAAGCCCAACAAAACCUACAGCUCCCUCGUCCAGUUUCAUUAA